UACCAGCACCCCGAGUGGUCGGGACGUUUAUUGGGCCUAAAGCAUCCGUAGCCGGUUCUACAAGUCUUCCGUUAAAUCCACCUGCUUAACAGAUGGGCUGCGGAAGAUACUAUAGAGCUAGGAGGCGGGAGAGGCAAGCGGUACUCGAUGGGUAGGGGUAAAAUCCGUUGAUCCAUUGAAGACCACCAGUGGCGAAGGCGGCUUGCCAGAACGCGCUCGACGGUGAGGGAUGAAAGCUGGGGGAGCAAACCGGAUU
rnacentral:rRNA from 1 species